UGGCCGCUGGCGCAAUGGGCAGCGCAUCUGACUUUGACUCAGAGGGUUCCCGGUUCAAAUCCGGGGCGGCCAGCCA
rnacentral:tRNA from 1 species